rfam:Rousettus bat coronavirus HKT10, complete genome
CUACUCUUAUACAGAAUGGUAAGCCUGUUUAUAAGCUAGUAUAAGUAGAGUUUAUAGAUAUUG